rnacentral:tRNA from 1 species
UCUCUGUUAGUAUAUCGGUUAGUACACGCGCCUGUCAUUUGUCAGGCUCGCGCGAAAGCUGGGUUCGACUCCCAGACAGAGAG